rnacentral:rRNA from 1 species
GACGAACGCUGGCGGCGUGGAUUAGGCAUGCAAGUCGGACGGUAGGGCUUUAUCGUAAGAUAGAGUUUGAGAGUGGCGAACGGGUGAGUAACACGUAGGAAUCUACCCUUAAGACGGGGACAACCCAGGGAAACUUGGGCUAAUACCGGAUGAGAGUGCGAGAGAUUGCAUUUAAAAGGAUGGCGAAAGUUGUCCGCUUAGGGAUGAGCCUGCGGUCUAUUAGUUAGUUGGUGAGGUAAGAGCUCACCAAGGCGAUGAUAGAUAGGCGGCCUUAACGGGUGGUCGCCCACACUGGGAUUGAGACACGGUCCAGACUCCUACGGGAGGCAGCAGUGGGGAAUCUUGCGCAAUGGGCGAAAGCCUGACGCAGCAACGCCGCGUGCGGGAUGAAGGCCUUCGGGUUGUAAACCGCUUUCAGCAGGACGAAAUGACGGUACCUGCAGAAGAAGCCCCGGCUAACCUACGUGCCAGCAGCCGCGGGUAAUCCAACGAGAGUA